rnacentral:rRNA from 1 species
UAGCGGCGGACGGGUGAGUAACACGUGGGCAACCUGCCUGUAAGACUGGGAUAACUUCGGGAAACCGGAGCUAAUACCGGAUAAUCUUUUUCCUCUCAUGAGGAAAAACUGAAAGACGGUUUCGGCUGUCACUUACAGAUGGGCCCGCGGCGCAUUAGCUAGUUGGUGAGGUAACGGCUCACCAAGGCGACGAUGCGUAGCCGACCUGAGAGGGUGAUCGGCCACACUGGGACUGAGACACGGCCCAGACUCCUACGGGAGGCAGCAGUAGGGAAUCUUCCACAAUGGACGAAAGUCUGAUGGAGCAACGCCGCGUGAGCGAUGAAGGCCUUCGGGUCGUAAAGCUCUGUUGUUAGGGAAGAACAAGUAUCGGAGUAACUGCCGGUACCUUGACGGUACCUAACCAGAAAGCCACGGCUAACUACGUGCCAGCAGCCGCGGUAAUACGUAGGUGGCAAGCGUUGUCCGGAAUUAUUGGGCGUAAAGCGCGCGCAGGCGGUCCUUUAAGUCUGAUGUGAAAGCCCACGGCUCAACCGUGGAGGGUCAUUGGAAACUGGGGGACUUGAGUGCAGAAGAGGAAAGCGGAAUUCCACGUGUAGCGGUGAAAUGCGUAGAGAUG